GAUGAAGAACGUAGCGAAAUGCGAUACGUAAUGUGAAUUGCAGAAUUCAGUGAAUCAUCGAGUCUUUGAACGCACAUUGCGCCCUGUGGUAUUCCGCAGGGCAUGCCUGUUCGAGCGUCAUUUCAACCCUCAAGCUCUGCUUGGUGUUGGGCCCUGCCCGCUGCGGCCGGCCCUAAAGACAGUGGCGGUGCCGCCUGGCCCUGAGCGUAGUACAUCUCUCGCUCCAGUGCCCGGUGGUAGCCUGCCAGAACCCCAACUCUCGUGGUUGACCUCGGAUCAGGUAGGGAUACCCGCUGAACUUAAGCAUAUCAAUAAGCGGAGGA
rnacentral:misc_RNA from 1 species